AAGGCUUUAGCUUAAUUAAAGUGUCUGGGUUGCAUUCAGAAGAUGUGAGAUAAAGUCUUGCAAGUCUUA
ensembl:Mt_tRNA